GUAGGUGGCAAGCGUUGUCCGGAAUUAUUGGGCGUAAAGCGCGCGCGGGCGGUUCUUUAAGUCUGAUGUGAAAGCCCACGGCUCAACCGUGGAGGGUCAUUGGAAACUGGAGAACUUGAGUACAGAAGAGGAAAGCGGAAUUCCACGUGUAGCGGUGAAAUGCGUAGAGAUGUGGAGGAACACCAGUGGCGAAGGCGGCUUUCUGGUCUGUAACUGACGCUGAGGCGCGAAAGCGUGGGGAGCAAACAGGGAUUAGAUACCCUGGUAGUCCACGCCGUAAACGAUGAGUGCUAAGUGUUAGGGGGUUUCCGGCCCCCUUAGUGCUGCAGCUAACGCAUUAAAGCACUCCGCCUGGGGAGUACGGCCGCAAGGCUG
rnacentral:rRNA from 1 species